UACGUAGGGUGCGCGCGUUGUCCGGAAUUAUUGGGCGUAAAGAGCUCGUAGGCGGUGUGUCACGUCGGCCGUGAAAACCUGCAGCUUAACUGUGGGCGUGCGGUCGAUACGGGCAUCACUGGAGUUCGGCAGGGGAGACUGGAAUUCCUGGUGUAGCGGUGAAAUGCGCAGAUAUCAGGAGGAACACCGGUGGCGAAGGCGGGUCUCUGGGCCGAUACUGACGCUGAGGAGCGAAAGCGUGGGGAGCAAACAGG
rnacentral:rRNA from 1 species